rnacentral:tRNA from 1 species
GGCGCAGUGGCAGAGUGGUCUAAUGCGUGUGACUAGAAUUUCUAGAGUAUCUCAUGAUAUGUUAUCACAUCCCUUCGGGGGCGUCUGUUCGAAUCAGGCCUGCGUCG